GUCGACGGCGUGGGUUACUUCGGUGGCGGAGUUCGAUCCACGGUGGAAGGAAAAAGAAGAGUGAGGUUGUUUAGAUCGCAGUCAGCUUGGUAGAUGGCGUUGAAGGGAAUUCGCGGCGGCCAUGGCGGUUAGCCGGAAGUUGUUGAAGGAUGUUAAGGGCGGAGAAUUCGAGACGUACGGUGGAGUGUGUAUGUUAUGGUGGUGUUUGUUGGAAGGUUUGAGUUUAUGAAGAAGAAGAGGAUUUGAAGGAAUUGAGUGGGUAAGGGUGUGACGGCAGUGCGUUUUUUCAAGGGGAAGAAGAAGGUGGAUUUCAGUGUUUUGUGUGUGUGACGUUUGGGAGCAGAAGAAGUAUUCCUCCCUUUUUGUUUUUUUCUGUCCCAUGAGUCCCCUUUUUCUUGAGACAGAGUGGUGAUCCCCACGUGAAGAAGAAAUCUCUUUGUUUCCCCUUUUUCCCCGUUAGCCAGCUGUUCCUCCAUUAAUAAAAUCCCAUUUUUGUUCUUAUCCCAUCUCUCCCAAUAACAUGAUGCCACGUUUCAUGUUGAGAGUAUGGAUAAAAAAUCUUCUCAAAUGCAAGCUGUCAAACGUGUAUCUUUCACAAGUAUACAACUUUAUUUUUAAUUUUUAAUUUUUAAUGUUAAUAUUAAUAUUAUUUGAUUUUUCAUGAUUAAUAUUAUUAUUAAUUGAUUUUUGAUUGGAUAAUGGAAUAUGAUAACGAUUGCAAAUGAGAUCCGUGGAUUAAUUUGUAUCAACGAUCCUGAUUAAUCCAAAGAAGCACAAGCAAUUUUAAAAUGUCCGAUAUGUCCCUUUUAUAUGAUUUUAAUUGAUUUAAAAUAAUUUAAAUCAUCAAAUCAAAUUAAAUUCGCAUCUUUCUAAAUACAUACGAUAAAAAUAAAAUGAGAAUACGAAAAAUUCUAUUUAUUUCUUUUGAACAUUUUGGCGAAAGAAUAAAAAUAAAAUGACUAAAAAUUAAUAAAAGUCGGACGAAAAUUUGUUUAAAAAAUUAAAUCGGACGCACUAAAAUGAUCAGCGCGAAAUAUACUUAUUGAAAAAAUACAUCAUUUCUUUUAAUUUUGAAAUAAAUUUUGACCGAUUGAAAGGCUUAGACGGAUCAAAAUGCGAUUGAAAAAGUCGUCGAAAAAUAUAACGAGCACACCAUGUUAAACUACGCAGACCAUAGAUUAAUAAUACUGGCGUAUGCAAGUUUAAUUUUGAAACUUUUUACACGCUGAUUUUGCACGUACUUGAGAAAUGAUUUAACCAAUUUGUCUAUAUUUUCAAUAAUUUAUUUCGACCGAUAUUUUAAGUAUUAUUCAUGAUGAAAUGCAUGUUAUGCUGUACAACUGAUGCAAAUUAAAAAUGAAAUCAAGUUUAUGAAAAAUUUAAAAUGUCUGGACAAAAUUGGGGUAUGACAGCUGCCCCUAUUUAGUUACCUUGAUCCGGAAAGUAAGAAUUACAGCAGUGUCCGUAAAUUCGUGGUGGAAGGUAAUUAAAUACGAAAAGACCCAAAUUUUGUCCUUUGAAAUGUGAUGGAGAAAUGUAGAAAGAAAAUGUAACGAAUCCUAACGACAUCCAGGGUAUUAGGGGUAGAAUAUCCGAUCAAUGCCAACCCUCGAGUCGACAUUUAAAUCUUGCAAAGGUCGUUAUUGAUAUGAGGACAAACCUGAGCAGGUUUUCUGGCACCAAAAGGAUGACAAUAGAAUUAAUUGCCAUCACCAAAAGGGUGAUAGUAAUUCACCAUGAUUUCCGGGAUCGUCAUCACCAAAAGGAUGAUGGAAUACCAAGCUUCAAAGGUAGUCAUCACCAAAAGGAUGAUGGUUAUCCUGAUAAAGCUUUCCAUUACCGAGGGGGUAAUAUUAAGACUAUCAUCAAAAGGACGAUAGUUAACUCAUCAACUUCAAAGAUCACCGUCACCAAAAGGAUGAAAGUAAGUUCAACGACAAAACUUAUUAUCACCAAAAGGAUGAUGCUAAGUCACGGCAACUUCAUUGGAUCACCAUCACCAAAAGGAUGAAGGUAACAUUAACAACAAAACUUGUUAUCACCAAAAGGAUGAUAAAAAGUCAACAAUCACCAUCACCAAAAGGAUGAAGGUACUACCAAACAACAGAACUUGUUACCACCAAAAGGAUGAUAAUAAGUCAACAAUAUUAAUGAUCACCAGUAUCCAAAGGAUGAAGGUAAGAUCAACAACGAAACUUGUUAUCACCAAAAGGAUGAUAAUAAGUCACAAACUUCAAAUGAUCACCAUCACCAAAAGGGUGAAGGUAAGAUCAAAUAACAGAACUUGUUACCACCAAAAGGAUGAUAACAAGUCAUCAACCACCAUCACCAAAAGGAUGAAGGUAAAAACAAACAACAAAGCUUGUUACCCUCAAAAGGAUGAUAAUAAGUCAACAACUCAAAUAAUCACCAUCACCAAAAGGAUGAAGGUAAGAUUAAUAACAAGACUUGUUACCACCAAAAGGAUGAUAAUGAGUCACAAUCACCAUCACCAAAAGGAUGAAGGUAUUAUUGAACAACAAAACUCGUUAUCACCAAAAUGAUGAUAAUAAGUUACAACAACUUAAAUGAUCACCAUCACCGAAAGGAUGAAGGUAAGAUCAGAACAAAACUUGUUACCACCAAAAGGAUGAUAGUAAGUCGAGACAAACUUUAAUGAUCGCCAUCACCAAAAGGAUGAAGGUAAGAUCAAAUGACAAAACUUAUUACCACCAAAAGGAUGAUAAUAAGUCAAAAACUUCACAUGAUCACCAUCACCAAAAGGAUGAAGGUAUGAUCAACAACAAAACUUGUUACCUCCAAAAGGAUGAUAAUAAGUCACAAACUUCAAAUGAUCACCAUCACCAAAAGGAUGAAGGUAUGAUCAACAACAAAACUUAUUACCACCAAAAGGAUGACAAUAAUCUUUAAUAAUGAGAGGUCUCCAUUCACCAAAAGGAUGAAGGUUGGACCCAAAACUUCAAGGAUCUUCGACACCAAAAGGAUGACGGUAAGAUCACAAAUGUCAAGGGUUUACCAUUACCAAAAGGAUAACGGUUAUCAUAAACAAGGAGAUGAUUAAUAUUAUUCCUCAAUGAACUUUCACCAAAAGAAUGAUAGUGAGAAAAAUAUUUGGAAUAAUAAAGCUACUGACAAAGUUCAAUAAACCCGACUUGUUGGGUAGUAUUAGAACGUUACUGGGUAAGACUUGCUUGGGGUAUCGACAAUAAAAGGUUGCAGAAAAAUAUUCUCUGGAAAACAUAAUUUCCAUCAACAAAAGGUUAAAAGAAACAUCUCAUCGAGGAACGCUCAAUGAGAAACAAGGUAGGGGUUUGAAGAAAAAUUGUUCGACUUAGAUGAGGGUAACACCUUAUUAACAAAAGGUUAGAGGAUGUAAAUCAACGGGGAACACCCAACAAUACAAGGUAAGAACUCACUCAGAGAAAAUAAUAAAUGACUCAACUGAGGGUUGGCCUGGACACCUACGACUAAACCUUGGAUCUUGAUUCGUGCUAUAUGCAUGAAUGUUAUGUAUGCGUUAUGUAUGAGAUGAUGUAUGCAGUGCAUGUUUGAAUGUAAAGGAUGAUUGGUUUGUUUAGAAUUGGUCCCCCCUUUUCAAAGGAGAUGUAUUUUCUGGAAACAAAUACUGGUUGUAUUUGUUUUUGUGUGGGUUCCAACAAGGUGGACUUUGGGUUUUUUGGUAAUUGCCAAUAUGAGUUUGAUUGUUGGUGGGUGAAAGGAUCUGACUUCCCGACACUUGGUAGUUUAUGAUCUGAUGAACACGCAAUGGAUGUGGAUACGCUCGAUGCCCUAAGUUUGAUUUCUUGCUGUUAUGUUGUGUCUUUGCCCCUGAGGGGAACUCGACUUCUUCUUCUGAGAUGUUGGGUCAGCUUGUAACCGAGCAUAGUGACAUGAUCAACGCAUGAUGAUUAUGCUUUUGACGUGCCGCAAGGUUUCUUGUCAAGAUGUGAUAUUGUACCGGUAUGAAGUUUUGACAUUUUGGUUGUGAUCUUAGACAGUUUCUAGUGUCUGACACAAUCUGCCUGACCGACUUGAAGAUAUGAAGUGAAUUUUCCCCUUGCAACUUGUCUUGCCCAGUCUGUAGGGUGUUCAAAGGAAUUAUCCUUGAAAGGAAACCCUUAGGAGUGAUUAUCCCAUGACAUGGUCUGAGUCUGUUUCCUCCAACGUUUGUCUCUUGUGGUGGGAUAAACACAGAAAUGGAUAACAAAUGGUUUUGAACUCGGCAUUCAUGUCGUGUGAUUUUCUCUCUUCUUCUUUUUUUCUCGUGCAUAACUCAUAGCUUUGGGGGUUUAUCCACUUUUGGCUCUUUUCAACUCAAUUCUUUGUGAGCAUUUUAAAGGUGUUAGAGUCUUAAGUCUCGGCAAGUGCAUUUUCUUUUUUUUUUUUUCUUUUUGGACAUACACAUGUCUCUACUUUUUGUAUUGCUUUUAGAUCUCUUAUUAUGCACUUGCCCUUUCUUUCAAGAUUACCACCCCAAACUUAGCUUUUUGCACAUCUUGUAACUCACAACAAUCAUGCCGAGUGAUGGGAUGAAAUGAACGAUUAAUGGUCAACAUGGGGUUUAUUACGAACAAAAUGGCUAAGGCUCAACGGGGUUCACGAAGGGUAAACAUAUAAACAUGGAUGGCUAGAAAGGCUCUGGAUUAAACAAACAACUUGCCUCAGUGCGUGUUGUCAUGCUGUGAAGUGUCAAAAGAACAUACGCAAAAUCAGAGUGAUAGAGUCAUACCUGGCUGAACUCUCAUGAUAUUUAGUGUUUGGCCUUUUUAUUCUCACCAUGUUGGUUAAACUUACAAGCUCUGAAGCCUCCUAGUGUCAUGUGGUUUCUUUUCUGAUUCGGUUCUACCAUACCGCUCUCUUGGUCCAGUGUCACCAAAUUGUGUCCGACUUUUACUUUCUCAUGGUUGCAUCAACUUCCGGGGUACCUUAAUAGAACAAGUAUGAGGGGUGUCUUUCAUCCACUACAACCGAUCCCGGAUUCGUCCACAAUUUCUCAUCACUCUGUACACACCGAUAAACAAUAAAAACAAACGUUGAAGGAAAACAUGAACAAAAUGAAAACGAAAUAAAACAUGAAAGGAAAACCCCUCCCCCCCCCCACACCUGAACUAAACAUUGACCUCAAUGUUUAAAUCCAGAUACAAAGGGGACUCACAGCGACUACUGUUGUUUUACUGCACUUGUGUGGUUUCCUUCCAUUUUGAGGUGUUUGUGACUUUAUUAAAUCCAGAUACAAAGGGGACUCACAGCGACUACUGUUGUUUUACUGCACUUGUGUGGUUUCCUUCCAUUUUGAGGUGUUUGUGACUUUGCCCUUCUAAUUCUCCUCCUCCCCUACAACAAAAUUCUAGCACACAAAAAGAAAAAGAAAAACGAAAUAAAUUAGAAAUCAAACGCGUGGGUUGCCUCCCACGAAGCGCUUCCUUUAACGUCGCAUGGCUCGACGGUUCAUUUCCCUUAUCAUGGGGGGUAUUUCAGGUUCAAAACCUUGUUGCACCUCUUGUCUCUAACUCGGACGUUGUCUCUUUUAUCAGUGUUGACUCCUUUGCACCACGUUCCUUUUUAACCUUCCUUUCGAUGUUAGGAAUCUUCCCGUUUAGGGUGGCUACUGGCAGUGGUGAGACUUUGAUAGUAUUCAAUGUCCUGAUUAAGCCUACUUGAUACUGAGAUUUUGUAUCUUCCUCCAUAUCCUGGUCUUCAAUAGCUUUCAAUGUUAUUUCCUUGUUGUGAACUUUCAAGGUUAACGUGCACUCAUCCAUGUCGAGCUCGCAUCGACUCGUCUUCAUGAAAGGUCUACCCAGAAUGAUGGGUGCCUCAUUGUCUUCAGGUAUGUCUAGGAUUACAAAAUCGACUGGGAAAGUCAAGUCCGCUAUUGUUACCAACACAUCUUCAACCAUACCAUACGCAUCUUUUCUUGAGUGAUCCGCAAACUUCAGAUUGGUCUUUAUAUCACUGAUAUUUCUAAUACCCAGCCUGUGAUAGAUCGAUAAUGGCAUCAGAUUCAUACUAGCUCCAUAACCUAUUAGUACCUUUUUGAAGGUUCUUUCUUUGAUUGUGCAUGGUACUGUGACGGUUCCUGGAUCCUUUUAUUUGUUAGGAAUGUUCUGCUCCAGGGAGUUUGCAUUAUAUUGUUCCUUACCGGAUACCUGUUCUUCAGUGGUUGGUUUCUUUUCAGCCAUUACCUCUUCCACGAAUUUCUUGUACAUGGGCAUCCUUUCAAGUGGUUCAAACAAAGCCAUAUGACCCUCAAUCCUUUUAAACAUUGUCAUGAAUUUCUCCAAGUCUGACUCACUAGGUUCCUUCUUUGUCAUUCUCUGAGGGUAGGCAACUUAAUCACCGGUUUAGUUCCUUUUGUAGUUUCUUCUUGAGUCGGCUCUCUCGGUGAUGUAAUUUUUUCUUUUUAGCAGCCUUUUUCUCUGUCGUCGUGACAGUAUUAAACAUCUCUGACCUCUCGGAUUUUGAACUGUUUCACUUGGUAGGGAACCUGGUGUUCGAGAACUUGCCAGUUGCUGGGCUAUCUGCCCCAGCUGAACUUCGAGAUUCUUUAGGGAUGCGGCGAUGUUUUUCUGAUUGUUUCUAGUCUCUUCUUCAAAUUGCCCAUUUUGAGCUGCCGUCUUUUCAAUUGCAAUCUCCCAAUCUGCCUUCUUUGGGACUUGAUUUUGCUGUUGCUGAUAUUGGUUUUGAUAUUGGCCUUGUACUUGCUGUUGCACAUUCCCUUUCUGAUCCCUCCAUGCAAAGUUUGGAUGAUUCUUCCACCCCGGGUUGUAUGUGUUGGAGUAGGGAUUGUUUUGCUUUAAAAACUUGAUAUCUUCUAUCUGUUGCGGUGUUGCAAAGCAAUGAACAGUAUUGUGUGGUCCAUUACAAAUGCCACACACAUCGUUAGGUGCCUGUUGUACUUGAGCCACUUUCUGCGCACCUAUGUUUAGUGCCUUCAACCUUUUCUCCACCUCUGCAACAACUGCUUCUUCAAUUUUUACCUGUUUGUUUAUUUUAAGCUUCAAAUCAAUUACUGCAGAUUUGCUUGACACCCUAUCAUACAACUCCAGAUGCUCAUUUGAGGAAAUUGCUUCAAUUAUCUUCUUCAUACCGGUGGCUGUUGCAAAGUUAGCUGAGCCACCAGCUGUUGAGUCAAGGAUUUGUCUCGUUUGAAUUCGAAGACCAUUAACAAACAUUUGCAUCUGCUCAGUUUCAUCCAUGUUGUGAGUAGGACAAGCCACUAGGAUUCUCUUGAAUCUUUUAUAGGCAUCUCCUAUCGUUUGAAUUCGAAGACCAUUAACAAACAUUUGCAUCUGCUCAGUUUCAUCCAUGUUGUGAGUAGGACAAGCCACUAGGAUUCUCUUGAAUCUUUUAUAGGCAUCUCCUAGUGACUCACCCUCCUUUUGCUUGAAGUUUAGGAUCUCCUAUCUUUUUCUCAGUGACAUAGAUGCGGGAAAAUAUUCCUGCAAGAAUGUUGUUUCCAUCUGCUCCCAUGUAGUGAUACUGCCAGCCGGUAAGGAAUAGAAUCACUCUUCGGCUUCAUCUGCUAAAGUGAAUGGGAACAUACGAAGCCUUAUUGCUUCUUCGUUAUGUCCAGGCAUUUUCAGCGUUGUGCUCAUAGUUAAAAAUCUUUGCGGAUGCUUGUUGGCAUCUUCAUUCACUCUUCCAGAAAAGGACCGCCUUUCGAGUUGAUUAAUUAUGCUGGGAUGCAAUUGAAAUUGUUUUACAUUAACCGGGUGGUUUACAAUUGUCAUCCGACCACCCGGAGUGUUGGUUCCACCAUUGUCACCGAGAAGUCUCUCGGGUGGUGGUGGUGGUGGUGGGUUUGCAGCCAUGAUUUCAGGAACUAUUUCCGCGUCUGAAUCUGAAUUCUCUGAGUGCACUGAAACAACUUCCUCCUCUGCUUUCUUUGCUAAUUCCAGUUUUUCUCUCUUAGCUUGUCUUAGUCUAGCACGAAGAGUUCUUUCUGGAUCUGCGUCAAAAGAAAAAUCCGCUGAGGCCUUACCUCGCAUAAACAAGUUAGACAAAUAUUAGAAUUGAAUAACAAGAUUGUCACAGAUAAAAUUUUGGUUGACGAGCAGAUAUAAAUUCACAAAACCAACCAAACCCUUGUCUUUUUGUUCAAAUAGAAUCAGAAGUAAAAUAAGUAUUUCCCCCGCAAUCCCUGAGAUCGAUACUUGGAAAUAAAAUCCUAUUACAUCAAUCGCGUAAAAAAGUACACUUGCUAAUUCCGAUCAAGUUUUUGGCGCCGUGUCGGGUAAUGCCAAAUAAAACCUAUUUUAAUUUUUAAUUCUUAUUAUGAAAUUUUACAAAAAAAGUUGCUCAGCAAACCAAAAAAUAUUUAUAUGCCUGUAGUGACACACAUCUUAUCAAUCUAAUAUUGAUACGCCAAAAUUAAACAAUUGUUUAUGCGAGACAGUAAGCCUCAAGCGGAUUUUCUUUUAUGACGACAAUCCACGAAAGAACUACUUCGUGCUAGCACUAGAGACAAGCAAACGGAGAAGAAAAACAAUGGAAUAGCAAAGAAAGGCAGAGGAGGAGGAAAGAUUGUUUCAGUGCAACUCAGGAGAAUUCCGAUUCAGACGCGGAAAAUAAAUACAAAAAUCGUUCCUCGACAAUAUCAAAUGGCAAUGCAAAACACCCACACCACACAACAACAACACUCCAAACCACACCACACACCUGAGAAAAAAACUUAUCGAACCAAGAUAACAAGAUUGAGUGGAAAACCAAACCACUCCGGGUAGUGGACGAUGACAAAAUGUGAAACACCCAGGUAUGAUUAAAAACACAUUAAAUUACAAUUGUACCCAGCAAUAAUUAAAAUGCAAACUCGAAAAGAACGACACGUUCAUUUAUAUAAAUCUGGAAAGAUAAAAAAAGAUACAGCGAGUAAACAACAAAACAUUGUUGAAUGAAAAAAUGGUAGGAACCACAAACAAAAGAAAAAAGCAAACAAAAAAUACAAACCAACGAGGACAAAAAAACAAAAAAAGAAGAAAAGAGAAUAAAGAGAAAUAAUUACUUAACUCAUGAGCCAACAACGGCUUGAGAAAAUGCCCUGAACCAUAACGAAGAAGCAAUUAAGGAGUUCGCUAGUCCAUUACUCUUAGCAGAUGAAAGUCACGAAGGAGGUGAUAUACAUCAUCAAACUUAAAGCCGAAAAAAAGUGCUCGGCCAAAGAAUCAACCACAUCGGAGCAAGAGUGGAACUAUAAAACACAACAUUCUUGCAGGAAUAAUUAGUCGACAUAUAUAGAGUCCACUAGGAGAAAAAAAAAGAAAUAAAAAAAAAAAGAACCAAAGCAAUUAAAAUAGCAAAAACAGCAGCCUGGGCAUUGUUACAGGAAGCAUCAAUCAAAUAAACCAACACAAAACACGAAAUUCAAAUUUCUGGAAAAAUUAAAAACAUGUAAGCUACAUUGAACAAGCCAGGGUUCUAUGGUUUUUUUAGAAAACAACAGCCAUAACAACCACAUCAUCAUUCAAAACAGCAACCAAAAACAACAGCAUUACAAAAUAUGCUAUUUCGACAGUGGAAUUCUCUUUCUGAAAGACAUGACUGAUUUGGCAACUAACAUAACCAGCUGCAUUCAUCAUCCUUCUACUAAUGUUAACCUACAUCAAUCAUAUAACAAGAUUUCAGAAUAGAGAAAGGCCCUAGUUCACAGAGGUGAACAUUCCCUCCCUCUCUUGGCAACCUAAGACAAGAGUCCUCUCCGUUUCACUACCUCCUGCCGAUUCCCCGGUUGUUCCCCCCCCCCCCCUCCCCCCGUUGUUGAGAGCAGAUUACCUCCUUGUGAAGUUUUAGCACUCUCCGCACAUUCUUCCUUUUUUCUCCAUGACCCCAUAGAGCGGGGACCAUCUCCUCCGCAAGCGGCACCCCCCCAUAAGCCAAAACCAAACACAAACAACCAAAUUCGGAGCCCAAGUAUGCUGGGCUAUUGUUAUUUGUUCAAACAACAGCAAAGCAAUCAUGUUCAUCAUGCAAUCAAACAGUCGAUCACAAUUGAAACUCAAACUAGCAGUGGGCGUAGCAAACAUGGGCAUUUGGUACAAGUUUGUUCAUGCCAACAUCACUUCACUCACACAAUCUGUCCCAAAAGUCUAAUUAAUUGUUUAACAACAGACAAGCAUAAGGCAAAGGAAAUUCCUGAUGAUGGCGCAGAGCUAAUAUUAUGAACCACAACCCAAACAGGUUAAUUAGCGAAUAUCAGAGAAUUCCUACAUCUCGCAUGGCUUCUCUCAAUUAUACAUCAUAACAAGUGUCGUGGAGCAAUAGGAAACCACAAUCAACCCAAAAUGGCCGUUAGCAUUGUGGCUUCGUCGCUAUUAAUGGAACAUCACAGGCCUUAGCAACAUCAACAACAACCAAAUUCUACAAACAUAUAGACACGUGUGGUGCAUCAUANUGGUUGGUUUUGUGAAUUUAUAAUAAUAAACACAAAAAGAUAGUAGAAAUAAUUGAUUAAGAUAAAAUAUGCUAGGGUGAGUGGUUGAUUUAACCAGUUAUGAAUUCAGUCAAGAUUUCCUUAAUACACAUGAAACAUUCAAUUACCUAACCGCAUAAUGUUCUUCCUUAAGUCCUUAAGGAAGAAACUAUUAAACUACCAAUUCUUACUCAAAUGUCCAUUCAAUUAAUCAUUGGUUUUAAUCAUAAACAAUAUCAAGGUUUAUGGUGAUUCACAAAUGUUCCUAGUCCUAGGUGAUGCAAUUAUAAACCCAAUUGUGUGAAAACACUAACAAUCACAAUCCUGUUAUUGAUAGUCAUAGAUCUAUUUGUAUUUGUCUGAUACAAAAGCAUAAGCACAUCAGACAAUUGAAUUGAAAUUCGUAACAUAGUAAUAAGGAAAUCCAUAGAUAGAAUUCAUAACAUCAGACCAAAUCAGGACCACCCCCCUAGCAUUGGGGGUUUAGCCUCUCAUAGUAUUCAAAGAAAUCAUAGUAUAGAAAUUAAACAUUACAAAGAAUGAGGAGAUUUUGAUCUUCAAUGGGUGAUGCCCUUGAAUCUCGCCGUCUUUGAAUCCUCCGUAGUAGCUAUCUUCUCCGGUGCAAUGUUUCUUUUCGUACGUCAAAAAGUGUCUUCUCUAUCUCUCCAAAGUCUUUUAAUAGCCUCAGAUGGUUUUUCCCCAGUAAGAAGUCCAAAAUACCCUUAAUGAACAGGGCAGAUCCACACAACAAAAAGUAAAAUUUCUCAGCCGCGCCCAUCAACACUGGCAGUGUGGAUACACAUGGGUGCCCGUGUUGAUUCACACGGGCCGUGUGAAUUUACAUGGGUACCCGUGUUGUUUUCAAGAGUUAUGUUUUUUAAAGCAAGCUACAGAGGCAUCAACACGGGCCGUGUUGAUGCACACGGGUGCCCGUGUUAACCCUCUAUUUUACCUCCUGGAGUGCUUGUUUCCGGACAAACAACACGGGCCGUGUUGAUGUACACGAGGGCUCGUGUUGACCUACUGUAUCUUCAUAUUUUGGCCUUCCGGAGCAUCCAAUACUCGGCUAUUAGUCCUUUGGAACCUAUGCACAACCUGCAACAUUAACACUACCAAAUCGAAGCAUAAAAAGAGACUUUUUGACAUAAACAAGUAACAAAAUGCAAUGCACUAAUAAACUAACAAAACUUGUUAAAUGACUUUAAAAUAACUAAAAACAACCACAAGUCUGACCAAACUGAUGAAAAUAUGUCGGAUAAAAGGUGGGAAUUCAAUGGAAAUGGUGACCGAUCAUCGGUUAUUCUUCUGUGCUUCAGCCAAGCUGACUCACCGAUACAACACUCGCGCCAAUCAACCCAAGAUCUUGGAACAUUUGGAACAAGAGAACAAGGAGCUGAAGGAUGAGA
rnacentral:lncRNA from 1 species